GUUGCUUUUGCAACAUGCUUUCUUUUUCCUCUUGCCAUGUGGGACACAAUAUUAGGUUCAGCUUCUGAUAGUAUUGUUAAGUUUCAGUUUCCAAGCUGGGCAUACUUGAGUAUAAUCUUCUUUGGAAUUAUUUUCAUAUUCUAUGCCGAUAACAUUGCUGAAGAAAGGCUGCAUCUUGUUUUUUCUUCUCCAAGGCAUCUAAUGAUUUCUGGAGUAUGCAUUAUUAUUAUGGAAAUCUUAUAUCUAAUGGAUUUUUCCCUUUUGGGUUUUGUGAUUUGUUCUUCAAUUUUGG